UACAGAGGGUGCAAGCGUUAAUCGGAAUUGCUGGGCGUAAAGCGUGCGUAGGUGGUCGUUUUAAGUCUGUUGUGAAAGCCCUGGGCUCAACCUGGGAACUGCAGUGGAAACUGGACGACUAGAGUGUGGUAGAGGGUAGCGGAAUUCCCGGUGUAGCAGUGAAAUGCGUAGAGAUCGGGAGGAACAUCCAUGGCGAAGGCAGCUACCUGGACCAACACUGACACUGAGGCACGAAAGCGUGGGGAGCAAACAGG
rnacentral:rRNA from 1 species